rnacentral:rRNA from 1 species
UACGGAGGGUGCGAGCGUUAAUCGGAAUUACUGGGCGUAAAGCGCACGCAGGCGGGGUUUUAAGCCAGAUGUGAAAUCCCCGGGCUUAACCUGGGAAUGGCAUUUGAGACUGGGAGUCUAGAGUGCAGUAGGGGGGGGUAGAAUUCCACGUGUAGCGGUGAAAUGCGUAGAGAUGUGGAGGAAUACCGGUGGCGAAGGCAGCCCCUUGGGAUUGUACUGACGCUCAGGUGCGAAAGCGUGGGGAGCAAACAGG